rnacentral:rRNA from 1 species
GUGAGGAAUUUUCCGCAAUGGGCGAAAGCCUGACGGAGCAAUGCCGCGUGAAGGAUGAAGGCCUAUGGGUUGUAAACUUCUUUUCUCAGAAAAGAAUUAUGACGGUAUCUGAGGAAUAAGCAUCGGCUAACUCUGUGCCAGCAGCCGCGGUAAGACAGAGGAUGCAAGCGUUAUCCGGAAUGAAUGGGCGUAAAGCGUCUGUAGGUUGUUUAAAAAGUAUUCUGUCAAAGAUUAGGGCUUAACCCUAGAUAGGCAGAAUAAACUUUUAAGCUAGAGUGUGGUAGAGGCAGAGGGAAUUCCCGGUGGAGCGGUGAAAUGCGUAGAUAUCAGGAGGAACACCAAAGGCGAAGGCACUCUGCUGGGCCAAUACUAACACUGAGAGACGAAAGCGAGGGGAGCAAAUGGGAUUAGAUACCCGGGUAGUCC